UAUAUUUUAUUUUGGUAGCCCCCAAAAUAUUGGGAUAUAUAGAAAAAGACAACUCUGUUCCACAGAGUAGCUGUUGACAUUAUAGUUGCGCAGGCACUUGACUCUAGAGAACCUCGGGCCAAUCGCACAUCCCCGUGGCGGCGACUUUGCCUACGGAUGUCAUCCAUAUAAACUUUUUCUGCCAGUUUCUGCGCCUACCAUGGUGACCACGGGUAACGGGGAAUCAGGGUUCCAUUCCAUACAAGGACCCUGAGAAACGGCUACCACAUGCAAGGAAGGCAGCAGGUGCGCAAAGACCCACUCCUGACACGGGAAGGUAGUGA